rnacentral:rRNA from 1 species
UACGGGGGGGGCAAGCGUUGUUCGGAAUUACUGGGCGUAAAGGGCUCGUAGGCGGCCAACUAAGUCAGACGUGAAAUCCCUCGGCUUAACCGGGGAACUGCAUCUGAUACUGGAUGGCUUGGAUUCGGGAGAGGGAUGCGGAAUUCCAGGUGUAGCGGUGAAAUGCGUAGAUAUCUGGAGGAACACCGGUGGCGAAGGCAGCAUCCUGGACCGAUAUUGACGCUGAGGAGCGAAAGCUAGGGGAGCAAACGGG